rnacentral:rRNA from 1 species
GCUACCUGCAGUCGCACGAGAAAGGGUAGCAAUACCUGAGUACAGUGGCGCACGGGUGAGUAAUUCAUGAAUCAUCUACCUUCGAGUGGGGAAUAACUGGGAGAAAUCUCAGCUAAUACCGCAUAACACCUACGGGUCAAAGCAGCAAUGCGCUUGAAGAGGAGUUCGCGGCAGAUUAGUUAGUUGGCGGGGUAAUGGCCCACCAAGACGAUGAUCUGUAUCCGGCCUGAGAGGGCGCACGGACACACUGGAACUGAAACACGGUCCAGACUCCUACGGGAGGCAGCAGUGGGGAAUUUUGCGCAAUGGGGGAAACCCUGACGCAGCAACGCCGCGUGGAGGAUGAAAUCCCUUGGGAUGUAAACUCCUUUCGAUCGGGACGAUUAUGACGGUACCGGAAGAAGAAGCCCCGGCUAACUUCGUGCCAGCAGCCGCGGUAAUACGAGGGGGGCAAGCGUUGUUCGGAAUUAUUGGGCGUAAAGGGCGCGUAGGCGGUUUGACAAGUCUGAUGUGAAAUCUAUGGGCUCAACCCAUAGCCUGCAUUAGAAACUGUCGGGCUUGAGUAUGGGAGAGGUGAGUGGAAUUUCCGGUGUAGCGGUGAAAUGCAUAGAUAUCGGAAGGAACACCCGUGGCGAAAGCGGCUCACUGGACCAUAACUGACGCUGAGGCGCGAAAGCUAGGGGAGCAAACAGGAUUAGAUACCCUGGUAGUCCUAGCCCUAAACGAUGAUUGCUUGGUGUGACAGGUACCCAAUCCUGUCUUGCCGAAGCUAACGCGAUAAGCAAUCCGCCUGGGGGAGUACGGUCGCAAGGCUGAAAACUCAAAAGGAAUUGACGGGGGGCCCGCACAA